GCCGGGGUGCCCUAGUCCGGUAGGGGGUCGGCCUGCUAAGCCGAUGGCCCGUUCGGGCCGCGCGGGUUCAAAUCCCGCCCCCGGCGCCA
rnacentral:tRNA from 1 species